UUGUGGCUUCGGCUGCAAACCUAGUGGCGAACGGGUGAGUAACACGUGGAGAACCUGCCCUCGAGUGGGGGAUAACACUCCCAACGGAGUGCUAAUACCGCAUAAGACCACGGGAUCGCAUGGUCCUGGGGUCAAAGGUGGCCUCUGCUUGCAAGCUACCGCUUGAGGAUGGCUCCGCGUCCCAUUAGCUAGUUGGUAGGGUAACUGCCUACCAAGGCUCCGAUGGGUAGCUGGUCUUAGAGGAUGGUCAGCCACACUGGGACUGAGAUACGGCCCAGACUCCUACGGGAGGCAGCAGUCGAGAGGCCUUGUCAAUGGGGGAAACCCUGAACAGGCGACGCCGCGUGGGCGAUGAAGGCCGUUAGGUUGUAAAGCCCUUUUAUUCGGGAAGAAACGCAGGUGGGCAAACAGUCCAUCUGUUUGACGGUACCGUUUGAAUAAGCUCCGGCCAACUCCGUGCCAGCAG
rnacentral:rRNA from 1 species